AGGUUUGCUCAGGUUGGAGUUCGUCGGAGAUAUUAUCACACUGUCAAGCUAUCGCUAUUGGUUGUUGACAAGCCAGCUCGGAAAUCGGAAACGGUCGGAGGCACGCUCACACUAUCCGUAUACCAUCUUGGCAUAAUGGCUUGUAUAUUUUGAGUAUGGCAUGUAUAGCAUUAUAAUCAUUUUAUAUGUAUGGUCUUAUGAUAUGGUUAUUGAGUGGUAUGGAAAUAGAAAUGCUUGGUAAUGAUUAGCCAUUGGAAUGGCUAAUCAUGAUCAUAUUUGGUAUUAUGUAUGUCAAAUUGCUAGCUAAUCCAUGGAAACCAUGAAAUAGGUAAAAUUUACCAUAAAA